rnacentral:tRNA from 2 species
CAGGGCGUAGCUACAACACAAAGCAUUCAGCUUACACCUGAAAGAUAUCUGCCAUUCCCAGAUCACCCUGA